GGGAUGUACUGGAGGGGGGGUCACCAAAGUUUUGACUUUUGAGACGAGAAACCAUUUGUCGUUCUUUUACUUCCGAGACGCUGACCGAGAAGGUUACUCUAGUCAUUACUGCUGGGUACUUUCAUUCCUGAAAUUGUUCUUCAUAAAAAAAGGUUGGUUGAGAUUGUUCUCAAUGUGGGAUGCCAAAUCAACAAGAUGAGAUAAGAUGCCAAGCCUCUGUGAAGAGGCCUCUACCAUGUUGCGAGAUGAAAAUGUGCACACUAGGCAAGCUGAAAUGGUUUCAUUGGUUAGUGAAAGUUUGAGCUGUUCAUGGUUGUGAUGUUUGGUGUGGCAGUCAUUUUCUGAUUGAGACGUGCACUGAAAUGGAUCUUCUACAGACUUGCGUGUUGGUUCAACAUCAUACUUCCAUUUACCAUGUUGGUGUCCAUGAGAGUUGAGCUGUUGUGCAAAAUAAUAGGUGUUGCCUGAUGGCUUUCUGGCAAUUUGUUGGUGUAUUCUUCUGCUACCUGUAUCCAUGUUG